rnacentral:tRNA from 1 species
GGGCGCAUAGCUCAAUUGGUAGAGCAAUUCCCUCUUAAGGAAUAGGUUGGAGGUUCGAGCCCUCCUGCGCUCA